rnacentral:rRNA from 1 species
GACAACGCUGGCGGCGUGCUUAACACAUGCAAGUCGAACGCCGUAGCAAUACGGAGUGGCAGACGGGUGAGUAACACGUGGGAACGUACCCUUUGGUUCGGAAUAACACAGAGAAAUUUGUGCUAAUACCGGAUAAGUGCGAGAGCAGAAAGAUUUAUCGCCGAAGGAUCGGCCCGCGUCCGAUUAGCUAGUUGGUGAGGUAAUGGCUCACCAAGGCGACGAUCGGUAGCUGGUCUGAGAGGAUGAUCAGCCACACUGGGACUGAGACACGGCCCAGACUCCUACGGGAGGCAGCAGUGGGGAAUAUUGGACAAUGGGCGCAAGCCUGAUCCAGCCAUGCCGCGUGAGUGAUGAAGGCCCUAGGGUUGUAAAGCUCUUUCGCCAGGGACGAUAAUGACGGUACCUGGAUAAGAAGCCCCGGCUAACUUCGUG